CCCUUAGAUGUCCUGGGCCGCACGCGCGUUACACUGAUGCAUUCAACGAGCUUAUAACCUUGGCCGAGAGGCCUGGGCAAUCUUGUUAACGUGCAUCGUGAUAGGGAUAGAUUAUUGAAAUUAUUAAUCUUGAACGAGGAAUUCCUAGUAAACGCAGAUCAUCAAUCUGCAUUGCUUACGUCCCUGCCCUUUGUACACACCGCCCGUCGCACCUACCGAUUGGAUGGUCCGGUGAAGCCUCGGGAUUGUGGUUCUUGCCGCUUUAUUGUGGCGUGACCGCGAGAACUUGUCUAAACCUUAUCAUCUAGAGGAAGGUGAAGUCGUAACA
rnacentral:rRNA from 1 species